UGGGGAAUUUUGCGCAAUGGGGAAGACCCUGACGCAGCAACGCCGCGUGCGGGACGACGGCCCUCGGGUUGUAAACCGCUUUCAGUGGGGACGACGAUGACGGUACCCACAGAAGAAGCUCCGGGCUAACUACGUGCCAGCAGCCGCGGUAAUACGUAGGGAGCGAGCGUUAUCCGGAUUCAUUGGGCGUAAAGCGCGCGUAGGCGGCCUGCUAAGCGGAACCUCUAACCCGGCUGCACCACUCGGGCCGGGUUCCGAACUGGCGGGCUCGAGUGCGGUAGAGGCAGGCGGAAUUCCCGGUGUAGCGGUGGAAUGCGCAGAUAUCGGGAAGAACACCGAUGGCGAAGGCAGCCUGCUGGGCCGCCACUGACGCUGAGGCGCGAAAGCUGGGGAGCGAACAGAUUAGAUACCC
rnacentral:rRNA from 1 species